AGUAAAAUGAAAUGGGAUGAUUAAGCAUCAGAUUUAUAAGUCAUGUAACAUGUGCUGUAGCCUGUAGAAUUGACUUCAGAAUUGUUUGCAGAAAAAUUAAUUAAUUAGAGCAAAAGCAAACAUCAAUGUCAGUGAACCCAUUCCGGCCAGGCUGUAGUAGAUAUACCAUAAGAUUGCACCAAUCAUAUAUAUAUAUAUAGCUCCUUAAGAUAUAUGUAUGCACCAAAUAAGGGUAGGUGCACAUAAUUUGAGUGAUUAAAAAUGGCAAUAUUUGUGGAGAGAAUUUUGUUUCUCCAUUGCCUCUUACUGCUAUUUGUAACUUUUUUGAAGAUAUCAGCAGCAGAUCCAUUCAAUAGAAGAAGUUUCCCACCUCAUUUCAUCUUUGGAACUGGCUCUUCUGCUUAUCAGUUUGAAGGAGCACCUAACGAAGAUGGUAAAGGCCUCAAUAUUUGGGAUACUUUUACUCAAAAACAUCCAG